rnacentral:rRNA from 1 species
AUUGAACGCUGGCGGCAGGCCUAACACAUGCAAGUCGCACGAGUGGCGGACGGGUGAGUAAUGUCUGGGAAACUGCCCGAUGGAGGGGGAUAACUACUGGAAACGGUAGCUAAUACCGCAUACCAUCGGAUGUGCCCAGAUGGGAUUAGCUAGUAGGUGGGGUAAUGGCGCACCUAGGCGACGAUCCCUAGCUGGUCUGAGAGGAUGACCAGCCACACUGGAACUGAGACACGGUCCAGACUCCAACCGGAGGCAGCAGUGGCGAAUAUUGGACAAUGGGCGAAAGCCUGAUGCAGCCAUGCCGCGUGUAUGAAGAAGUCCGUCGGGUUGUAAAGUACUUUCAGCGAGGAGGCGUUACCCGCAGAAGAAGCACCGGCUAACUCCGUGCCAGCAGCCGCGGUAAUUC